AACGAACGCUGGCGGCAGGCUUAACACUUGCAAGUCGAACGCCCCGCAAGGGGAGUGGCAGACGGGUGAGUAACGCGUGGGAACGUGCCCUUCGCUUCGGAAUAGCCCCGGGAAACUGGGAGUAAUACCGGAUACGCCGUAUUGGGAAAGAUUUAUCGGCGAAGGAUCGGCCCGCGUUGGAUUAGCUAGUUGGAGGUGUAAUGGACCCCCAAGGCUACGAUCCAUAGCUGGUCUGAGAGGAUGAUCAGCCACACUGGGACUGAGACACGGCCCAGACUCCUACGGGAGGCAGCAGUGGGGAAUCUUGGACAAUGGGCGCAAGCCUGAUCCAGCCAUGCCGCGUGAGUGAAGAAGGCCUUAGGGUUGUAAAACUCUUUCGCCGGAGAAGAUAAUGACGGUAUCCGGAGAAGAAGCCCCGGCUAACUUCGUGCCAGCCGCCGCGGUAAAAC
rnacentral:rRNA from 1 species